CGGCGCCGCGAGAUCUCAUCGCUACGAGUCGCCGGGAAUCUUGGCUCGAUUGACCGGACCGGACCGGUCCGGUUCGUCUAUAAAUCAAUCGCCUUAUUUCUCGUUUCUUCAUCCUUACAUCCCAGCGAGACGGAGACGGAGACGGAGGCGGCGAUGAUGGGUUCACCGGUGGUGUAGAUGGGAUCAGAGUUAGAGCUGUACGCUAUGCGGCCUGUCGCUGUCGGGUUCAUGAAGAAGGCGGUGACGGAGAGCAAGGAGAGAGGGCGGCAGGUGUCGCGGCUGGAGGAGUCCAUUAAGAGUUUGGAGGAGGAGAAGCGCAAGAUCGAAGCUUUCAAGCGCGAGCUCCCUCUCUGCAUGCGUCUCGUCUGCGAGGGCGUGAUCGAGGAGUUGAAGAGGGAGAUCGAUCGGUUCCGCGCCGAGGGUUUCCGGCGUGUGUUCCUGGAAUUCAUGCCGAUUAAGGGCAAAAUCAACGAGAGUAGCUCGGAUUUCAGAGAUAAGAAGAACUGGACGAGCUCGUUCCAACUCUGGAUCCGCGAGGAAAGUAAAGAUACCAAAAACAUGAUAAGAUGAACUUUAAAGAGAAAUCAGUAUGUGAUUCUCGGAACGGCGGAGACGCGUCCCUGCCGGUAUUGGAACUAUACAGCUCCAAGGCGGAAGAUGAGUCUGCCGCUGUGUUGUCUGACCUCUCUCUGUGCUCUACCGCGAUCACUCAUGGCUUUGUGACUCCGGCCAUCAAUAACCAUCCAGUUAGUUGCCGUAAGUGUACUAAAGAAUCCCUGGAAGCAUCUCCGGUGGCGGCGCCUGGCACACACUGUGGCUUGCAUUCGCAACAGAAGCAGCCUAGGAAGAUGAGGAGGUGCUGGUCUCAGGAUCUGCAUCGGCGGUUUGUGCGGCUCCGUGGUGCUCAUGGUAAGACCUCAGUUGAAUCAAUUGCUAGGAGGCCGAUGGAUUAUUCCUACGGGUUGAUGUUUAGUCCCACAUCUAAAAUUUCCAAAUUCUUCGAUCAAUAUAAAAUUUAGCUAUAUGACUUAGGAGUAUACCCAUGAGAUGAAGUGAUAGGAUUCUAGGAUCCAGGAAAAUCCCCGGGUCACUACCGCAGUGAUGCGGCCGUGUAAUUGCGGUCCAUUAAAUCAGAUUGUGUCCCAUUAUAGGGAGGGUUGAGACACGUGUGGAGCCUUUCAAUCUGAUUGUGGAUUCAUGACCGUUCUGAUAGUAAUUUACUUGCCUUAUAAAUGGGUUAACAGAACGGGGUUUAUAUUCUCAUGGGUAAUUUUUUUUAAAAAAAUAUUAAAUAAACUAUUUUACCAAAAUAUAUUACCUAUUUUUUUGUUUUGGAUGCUUUUACCAUUAAAUCGGAUUGUAUCUCAUUGACCCAUUUUUUAUUUUGGAUGUUUUUACCAUUAAAUCGAAUUGUAUCCCAUUGUAGGUGUGGAUUCAUGAUCGUUCUUUUAUAGUAAUUUACAUGACCCUAUAAAUGGGUUAAUAGGAUGAGGUUUAUAUUCUCAUUAGCAAUUUUUUUUUGAAAAAUACAAAUAAAUUAUUUAUCAAAAUAUAUUACCUAUUUUUUGUUUUGGAUGCUUUGCCAUUAAAUGAUUGUAUCUCAUUGCAGGUGUGAAUUCAUGAUCAUUCUCUUAUAGUAAUUUACUUGGCCCUAUAAAUGGGUUAACAGGACGGGGUUUGUGUCCAUUAAAUCGGUUUGUGUCCCAUUACAAGGAGGGCUAAGACAUGUGUGUGGAGCCUUUUGAUCCGAUUGUGCUUCAUAACUGUUCUUAUAGUAAUUUUCUUGACCUUAUAAAUUGGUUAACGGAACGGGGUUUAUAUUGUCAUGGGUAAUUUUUUUUAAAAAAAUAUCAAAUAAACUAUUUUAUCAAAAUAUAUUACCUAUUUUUUUGUUUUGGAUUCUUUUACCAUUACAUAAGAUUGUACCUCAUUGACCCAUUUUUUAUUUUGGAUGUUUUUACCAUUAAAUCGAAUUGUAUCCCAUUGUAGGUGUGGAUUCAUGAUCGUUCUCUUAUAGUAAUUUAUAUGACCCUAUAAAUGGGUUAAUAGGACGAGGUUUAUAUUCUCAUGAGCAAUUUUUUUUGAAAAAUAUCAAAUAUAUUAUUUAUCAAAAUAUAUUACCUAUUUUUUGUUUUGGAUGUUUUUCCCAUUAAAUGAUUGUAUCUCAUUGCAGGUGAGACACAUGUGGAGCCUUUUGAUUCGAUUGUGGAUUCAUAAUCGUUCUUUUAUAGUAAUUUGCUUGACCUUGUAAAUGGGUUAACAGGACGGAGUUUAUAUUUCCAUGGGCAAAUUUUUUGAAAAAAAUAUUAAAUAAACUAUUUUAUCAAAAUAUAUUAUCUUUUUUUACUUUGGAUACUUUUACUAUUAAAUCAGAUUGUAUGCUAUUACAGGUGUGGAUUCACCGUUUUCUUAUAGUAGUUUACUUGGCACUACAAAUGGGUUAAUAGGUUAUAGGACGGGGUUUAUAUUUCAUUGUGGAUUCAUGACCGUUCUUAUAGUAAUUUA